CAAAAGCAGUUAAUUCUACAUCUGUCACUUCUAAGGGUAGGAAUGAUAAUCCCGAGGCUGAUGUCCCCGAGCCUACAUUUUCUGUAUGGAAAUCACCUUCACGUAAUAGAACAUUGGCACAUGAGAGUACUUCUGGUGCUGGGGGUUUCGGGGAUGGGACUCCAAAGAGUGAGAGAUCAGCAGAUAUGUUCUGUGAUGAUAUUUUCGGAGAGAGACCUGCUGGAGUUCGUAAAACUG